GUCUUCUUAACUUACUUGAUCAGCAAGCUUCAACAAGUAGGAUGGAAUUUCGGAGCAUGGUUGUUAAUGUCAGAGAUGUGAAUGAUAGCACGACCGGUGGAGGUUAGGCCCAUUCCAGACAUGUCAGCCACCUGCAGAGUCAGCCUGAAGGACUGCACCACCUGACAACACAUUAGGUGGCAUUUUGCUCUUGAUCCAUCCUGUUGUUUCAUCAAUUUCAAAGAGGCCUUUGGGGUCCUGGUCAACCCCGGGUCCCUCCAGCAUGUAUAUCACCUCCCCGGUGAAAAUCUUGUCUGAUUUGAUCUGUGAGAGUGGACAUGGAACGUGUUACAGCCGUAUGAUCUAUGCUGAGCAACUAAUGGUGGGCUGUUUGUUUACCUGGACCAGAUCUUCAGGGACCUGCUUGCUGUUUUCUGAUACUCGGAUUGGUGGAAUGAUCCAGUCUCUCUUGACCCUGACCUGUGGACCUGCACUCCUGUG